CGGCCGCAUCAUUUUAAAACGUAAGUUCCCGUGCGAUCACCGAAGUUAAGCAACGUCGGGCCUAGUCAGUAGCUACAUGGGUGACAGCUUGAAAGUAGAAGGUGCUGUAAG